UUACUAAUGAUGUUCCAUAAAUUCUUUUUUUAAGUUUUUCUCUUCUUUUAUUCGGUUGAAUUUUGAAUUUUAAAGAGUCGAAAUUGAAGAUAAACUAUGUUUCAAAAUGUAAUUGUUAUUUUUUUCGUGUUUUCUCCUCUUUUAAACCGUUCAAUUAAGUGUAAAUAUAAUUAAUUAUUAAUAAUAACAGAGUUAAAGGUAAAUUGAGCAAAUUGGCUAUUUCUGGCAAUUUAUUUAAGUGUGUAUCAAACUGGUAGCCCUUCGCAUUAAUCAGUACCCAAGAAGUAGCUCUUGGUUUCAAAAAGGUUGGUGACCCCUGCUAUAGACAUUGUUUAAAUUAAAUGACACAAAAACAUCUAAUAUUCUUAAAGUUAGUCCCUUGGCUCCAAGGCACUCAGUUUGUUUUUUUAAACCUUACUGAUCCUUGGAGCAUGCCAAAAACUGGAGCAAGUCAGUAUUUUUAGAGGCUAAAUUGGCUGUAAUGUGAUUUAAAUGCAGAGCUGAUGGUGGAAUAUAAAAAGCUCUAGCACUUUUUCCACUGAGGGCCACAGACUGAAAAAUCAAAGGCAGUGAAGAAAAUAUGUAUUUCUCAUUAUCAAAACCAUACAGCCAUGUCAGCUUUGUGUAUUAGCAUCAACAUUUCAACUUUUACAUUCACUCUUUUAUUUCACUUUGAAUUUUUUUCAGUAUAGUGUUUUCAGAACGUGCAGAGAAAAAAAUUGCUGCAAAAGGACCCCGAACCGCUCUUUGGACAACUCUGCUGUAGCGACUUGUGUACCAGUCUCAAGCUUGACCUUAAAUAACCCUUUGCAGCUGCAAGCCCACAAGUUUUGUCUGUGAGUCCACUGCGCGCACAAAGUGUUGGCAUCAGGGGGCGACGCCAUGACGCUGGCGAGCAUCAACUGGCUGAAAACAUGGCUGCUGUCCUCCUUGAUGUGUUCCGGGUAGAACAGGCGCCCUCGUUUUGUCGGGCUACCUCGAGUCCUACAUCGCCUGGACAGCGCCAGGAUUCGGCGAAACAGCGACCUCCUGAGGAGGAUGUAGAUCCACGGGUCGAGGAUGGGGUUGACGGACGCGAUCCGGAUGGCCGCCAGGUCGGCUGCGGGGUCGUCUUCCAGCAUGAGGCGGUUGGCGAACACACGGACCUGGAAGGAAAACCAAACAGAAAGAUUUUGUCUUGGCCCGAGAACUACAAAGCGGAGAGGAAGCAGGACUAGACUCCCCUUAAGGCGACUUUUUUUAAAAAACUGUUUUACUACCUUUUCUUUGAACUGUUUGUAAUCAAAGGCGAUGGCUGUUUAUGACCCCCGUCCCUUAGAAACAGCUGUUGCCAUGUAAUCAGGGAAAAUCCAAAUAAAAGAGGAGGCGUACAAUCUUUCGUCAGAUCGUGGUGAGACUGUCAAAGAGUACAGUCCAAGCGUCUCGCCUCAAUUGAGCCAAAUUUAAUUCUGUCUGUUUAAUUCCUUGUUUCUUGUCUUGUUUAAUAGAUAUCAU